GUACUGCUAUGAAGCAUCCCUUCCACAUCAGAUCAAAGACAUCUUAAAGCCAGAAAUAAUGGAGGAGAUUGUGAUGGAAACACGCCAGAGGCUUUUGGAACAGGAGGGAUAAGGAGGUGCUCCAGAAGCACGGGACUGUGGACCUUGCAGGAGUGAAGACUGUGAUGUGUGGUCCCCAUAUGUGGCUCAGCAAAGACUCGAGAGAUCAUCCCUUUGUCUGCAUUGACGGCCCUGUGACGGCCUCCAGCCCACAGGCCUGCUUUCUCCUGUCCUAACACCAAGCCUGGGUGGCAGAUGAACAGUGCUUCCUUGGGUUGCCAGCUGAGUCCCGGUAUUAGGGAAUAGUUUCAGCUCUUUCAAAGUGCACAGUGUUACAGUCGAAUGGGCUCCCAUCCUGGAAUAAUAUGGAGAAUCCUUUGUCUUCCACUCACUGUCAUUCACAAGGCACAGUGCCCCAUGAAAUUGCCCCAAUAGAAAACAUGGCAUCCCUGACCUCCAAAUGGUCUGUUUUGGCCUCCAUUCCUAUAUCCUUUAAAUGACUGAGAAUGCAGCUGGUAAAGUUGGAAGAAUAAAGUUAACCAAGCAGGCCAGGCACGGUGGCUCACGCCUAUAAUCCCAGCACUUAGGGAGGCCAAGGCGGGCAGAUCACCUGAGGUCAAUAGUUCGAGACCAGCCUGGCCAACAAGGUGAAACCCCAUCUCUACU
rnacentral:lncRNA from 10 species